UACGGAGGGUGCAAGCGUUAAUCGGAAUUACUGGGCGUAAAGCGCACGCAGGUGGCUGAGUCAGUCGAUUGUGAAAGCCCUGGGCUUAACCUGGGAAUUGCAGUCGAUACUACUCAGCUAGAGUAUGGGAGAGGGCAGUGGAAUUCCCGGUGUAGCGGUGAAAUUCGUAGAUAUCGGGAGGAACACCAGUGGCGAAGGCGGCGACCUGGACGGACACUGACGCUGAGGCGCGAAAGCGUGGGGAGCAAACAGG
rnacentral:rRNA from 1 species